AUGUAUAUGUAUAUGUAUAUGUAUAUGUAUAUGUAUAUGUAUAUGUAUAUGUAUAUGUAUAUGUAUAUGUAUAUGUAUAUGUAUAUGUAUAUGUAUAUGUAUAUUAAUUAACCUUGUCAAAACUAGUAUGGACAAGGGAAUCUGAUUGUUUAAUUAAAACAAAGCAUUGCGAUGGUCCCUGCGGAUGCUGACUCAAUGUGAUUUAUGCCUAGUGCUUUGCAUGUCAAAGUGAAUAAAUUCAACCAAGCGCAUGUAAACAUCAGGAGUAACUAUGACUCUCUUAAGGUAGCCAUAUGCCUUGUCAUCUAAUUAGUGAUGCACAUGAAUGGAUUAAUGGGGUUCCCACUGUCCCUAGCUACUAUCUAGAGAAACCACAACCAAGGAAAUGGUCUUGGAAGAAUUAGCAAGGAAAGAAUACCUUGUUGAUAUUGACUCUAGUCCGACUUUGUGAAAUGACUUGCGAGGUGUAGAAUAAGUGGGAGUUGUUUUCAGUGCAAGUGAAAUAUGACCACUAAUUUUAACGUUAUUUUACUUAUUAUGUGGGGUAGAGAUGGUACACUGAACAUAUGUUAAAAUAUAACACACUUUCCUUCAAAUUGUUUUCAUUGAUGGAAAUGGUCAAGAGCUAAUUCUUCACACACUUUAUGGCAAUGAAUUUAGGAAACCAAAGAGGAUCAUUUCUUUUAAUGACUUAUAAAGUUCUUACAAAGAGGUUCAUUCAACAAUUUAUGGAUUCCCUUUACCGAUCUACGCCUUGGU
rnacentral:ncRNA from 1 species